GAAAGUUAGGGGAUCGAAGAUGAUUAGAUACCAUCGUAGUCUUAACCAUAAACUAUGCCGACUCGGGAUUGGCAGUCGUUUACUUUAAAUGACCUUGUCAGCACCGUAUGAGAAAUCAAAGUCUUUGGGU
rfam:Phytophthora infestans T30-4 supercont1.52 genomic scaffold, whole genome shotgun sequence.